AUUCAUCACAAUUUCAAUCUGGCAAUACGUUAUGAACAAAUAAACAGAAGUAAUAAUGCCGAUAUUGACAAAAUCCGUUUCGUUUCACAUAAAAUAUUUUUAUUUAAAAAAGUACUUAUUUUUUCAAAAACUGCCUAUAGCCGCGUUUUUUAAUACAAAACUAGAAAUACCCAUCAUGCGAAGUAUGUUCGUAUCUUUUAGAUUCUGGGUGUAGCGAAGAAUGUAUUGGUUUUACUAAGAUUUUUAUUUUUUCAUCCUGUGAACAAAAAUUCUACCAGAAAUCUUGCUCAAAUAUAAACGUAUGGCACCAUUUCUGAAAGGGAAUGUUGUCUAGAUGGUACUUAAAAGAAGUUAUUUUUUGAUUUUUCAAGCGGUUUU